rnacentral:rRNA from 1 species
AUGCCUCAGCUAACGGCGAGUGAAGCGGCAACAGCUCAAAUUUGAAAUCUGGCCUCUCGGGGUCCGAGUUGUAAUUUGUAGAGGAUGUUUCGGGUACCGCCCCGGUCUAAAUUUCUUGGAACAGAAUGUCAGAGAGGGUGAGAAUCCCGUCUUGGACCGGCGGUAGGGCCCAUGUGAAACUCCUUCGACGAGUCGAGUUGUUUGGGAAUGCAGCUCUAAAUGGGUGGUAAAUUUCAUCUAAAGCUAAAUAUUGGCCAGAGACCGAUAGCGCACAAGUAGAGUGAUCGAAAGAUGAAAAGCACUUUGAAAAGAGAGUUAAACAGUAUGUGAAAUUGUUGAAAGGGAAGCGCUGGCAAUCAGACUUGGGCGCGGCGGUUCCCCCUGCCUUCUGGCUGGGCUACUCCGCCGCGAACAGGCCAACAUCGGUUCUGGGGGCCGGUUAAAGGCUCUGGGAAUGUACCUACCCUCCGGGCGUAGACUUAUAGCCCAGAGUGUCAUGCGGCCUCCCGGGACCGAGGAACGCGCUUCGGCUCGGAUGUUGGCGUAAUGGUUGUCAGCGACCCGUCUUGAA